GAAUCUACAAGACCCAGCGUGCGCGCGAUGUGACUACAUAAGUUGCUCAUAUAUCGGAACCGGCUGUCCGGGCCCAUUAGAACCCUUUAAAGUAGCACUACCCCUAUCUAGUAACGUUAACAACCAGAAGUUGCUCCUUACGGAUCAUUCGCGCUCAGUAGUCGAGCGCAACUGAUGCAGGGACGGGAAACAUGUGUGACGGGCAGCGAGGAUGGCUAACUUACCAG
rnacentral:rRNA from 1 species